UACAGAGGGUGCAAGCGUUGUUCGGAAUUAUUGGGCGUAAAGCGCACGUAGGCGGAUUUGUAAGUCAGGGGUGAAAUCCCGGGGCUCAACCUCGGAACUGCCUUUGAUACUGCAAAUCUCGAGUCCGGAAGAGGUGAGUGGAAUUCCUAGUGUAGAGGUGAAAUUCGUAGAUAUUAGGAAGAACACCGGUGGCAAAGGCGGCCCACUGGUCCGGUACUGACGCUGAGGUGCGAAAGCGUGGGGAGCAAACAGG
rnacentral:rRNA from 1 species